CCAGCACGAUGCCAUGUUUCUAAAUAGAACACAAGUAUGUGUCAGCUGCUGGAGAAAGGGCAAGUCAUCCUUUGGAUAUGGGUAACGAAAAUGCCUUUUGGAUACUGGAUAUGAAUGCGCAUAAGCAAAUCUAAAAAGCUUACAUUUUGAUGACAUUUUCAUCUUUGGCUGCCAAGAAUACAUGGGAAAAGACAGUGGGAGGCUGUAAAGUACAGCGACACAAGACUUUUCUUGUUAAAGGUCAACUGUGAUCCAGAAUCUUGGCAUUUUCUUUCUGAAGACAUAUUUGUAACAGCAAUAGGAUUUGUAUGAUGCAUAGAGAGCCUGCACUUCCAGAAGUAAGGAAGAAAGAAAAGGUAAGAUGAUACUGAAGGAGGCAGAAACACAGAGGGAAGCAAGUGUACAGCAAAAGUCAUGUGAAUUGGUGUGCAAGUUGGCGAAUUUCCUAAUUGUCAGUAAAGGGCAGCAGAAAGAAAGACAAAGAAAAUAAAGGAAAUUCAAGUGGAAUCAAAAGGAAAGACUGGGCAAGACAGAAAAGAAGCAGGCAUCAGCAACAGAAUAAAGAAGCUAAGACACUCAAAAUGCAGAUGUAAAUGUCAUCACUAAAGGUCACCCCAUUCUGUUUCAAGGAGACAAAUAAAACUUAUAAAGGGGUUGUCUCACUUCAGCAAAUGGCAUUUAUCACACAAAGUUAAUACAAGGCUUUUACUAAUGUAUUGUGAUUCUCCAUAUUGCCUCCUUUGCUGGCUUGAUUCAUUUUUCCCACCUCAUUAUACACUGCUCAUAUCCAGGGGUUACAGACCCAGCUACAGCGCAGAUACGAGGUGGCCGGCACGGGAGCCGCUGUGCAUGUUUGCCUAUGCACGCCCGCACAGUCCCAGCCACCAGAGAGGCCGGUGCUUUUUCCUGCAGUGUCCAAGCACAACCACCAUUGAUGGAUUGCAGGGUGGUCGUAAACGCUGGAAACGAGCAGUGUAUAAUGUGAUUGAAAAAUUAAUCAAGCCAGCAAAGGAGGCAAUAUGGUAAUCACAAUACAUUAGCAAGUGCCUUGUUCUAAAGGGGUUGUCUCAUCAUGGACAAUAGGGGCAUAUCGCUAGGAUAUGCCCCCAUGGUCUUAUACGUGCGGGUCCCACCGAUGGCACCCGCACCUAUAUCGAGAACAGAGCCCCGCAAGUAAAGGAGGGCACACUGCGCCUGCGCAGCCGCCCUCCAUUCAUUUUCUAUGGGGCCAGCUAAAAUAGUCAAGCGCUGGCGGUACUCUCCGAUUCACUUCUAUGGGGAGCCGUCUUGGAGGUGGCCGGACCAGAGUCCUCCAGCCACCACUUUGCAGGGCUCCGUUCUCUAUAUAGCGGUGGGACCCACACCUAUAAGACAAUGGGGCAUAUCCAAGUGAUAUGGUCCCAUUGUCCAUGAUGAGACAACCCCUUUAACUUUACCUACAUGAUAACUGCCAUUUGCUGGAGUGAGACAACCCCUUUAAAGUUUUAUACCCAUCUCAAGCAUUUGUUUCCCUCUAUUGAAAUCCUUACUAGAAAGAAACCAACUGCUGCAUUCAGCACAAUUUUCUGACGACCAGAAUUUAAAGUUCACUGGCUCCACAUUCCUUGGAUCCUGAGCAUUUGUGGGUGGUGCACACCGCCUGUCAAUCAAGCACCCCUGUGAGGACCUCACAGCGCUGCUGACUUUGUUUUGCACACUCCCAAUGCUACAUGUACUAUAAAGAACCACAGAACUUCUGUACAUGCCUGGGAGCCAUCCUAUAGAGAUACAGAUAGGUGGCUGGGUAGUGGCAAGUGGGGGCUCCUGAGAUUCUGGCCAUUCACUCUAUAAACUGAACGAACGGUAUACACACGAGCAACCGCUGUCAGACGGUGGCGGACGUAACUGGAGACAAUAGCUGCCAAACAGCGAAUGGAUCCUGGAUGAAUGGUAGAUUUUUUAUAAAUUUGCCAUUAUAUACAUUUUUAGAUUAUGGGUUACACUAAAUAUCGAGAUGUGAAUAUCCCUUUAACCAAAAGAGUAAUAAAACGUGUGAUAUCUCAUCCAAGUGAGUCAGUUUGUCCU